UCUUGAGCCCGGCCUGGCCGGCCGCGCAGUUGUUUCGCCACCGCUUGCGGGAUGCAUUCCUCCCCUACGCCCCGGGCGCCAUGGAAACCGCCCGCGCACCCCCACGCCUUGCACUGCCCCUCAACUCAUUUGUCCCGCUCCCAGCGGCCCGGGGGAGAAGAUCCCCCCACUCUUACAAGGUCAUCAUGGACCAGUCCCCAAACUCUUCAGAAUCUAUUAACUUCACCUUAUAGAGGAGGAAGCUGGAGCCCAGAGUCAGGUGUGCUAUUUGGAUUCUCACAGUGAAUUAGCAUCAAAACGAGCAACGGUGUCUAGAGGUACACCUGGAUGGAGAAGGAGAAAUACAUUUUAGAGAUUGCUUCCUAAAAGGGGGCUCUGGUUCCUUCCAGUCAGUUCUGUCCCCAACUGACUCAAGAGGAAGCUUGCAGGAAUCUCUGGCAUUAAAUUCAACCUUUCCUGGC